UACGGAGGGUGCGAGCGUUGUCCGGAAUCACUGGGCGUAAAGGGCGCGUAGGCGGCUCAUGAAGGCUGUGGUGAAAGUCCGGGGCUCAACCUCGGAUCGGCCGUGGCGACUCGUGGGCUGGAGCACUGUAGAGGCGGGUGGAAUUCCGGGUGUAGCGGUGGAAUGCGUAGAGAUCCGGAAGAACACCAGUGGCGAAGGCGGCCCGCUGGGCAGUGGCUGACGCUGAGGCGCGGCAGCGUGGGGAGCAAACAGG
rnacentral:rRNA from 1 species